CUUUCAAACUGAAAGAAUUUAUAAUCUAAUUUAUUAAUAUUCUCUGGAAAAGACAAAGAUACAACAGUAUGCCUGUUUAGAAAGUAUUUCAUAACUCACUCAGGGGAAAAACCUUACCUCAUUUCGGGAAAAAAUUGGGAUUUUGCCCUGUCCUUAUGUGCUAUUUUCCGUAGUAUUUUUCCAGUAGUACUUCUCCAAAUCAAGCUAGGGACAGUUCAGCUUCAAGUUUUAUUGACAUUUUUUGUGGGCAUGAAAUGCUUUUUUUAAUACCUUACUUUAACUCAUUUUGUGUAUUUCUAUGGGAUUCCUAUUUCUUUUCUGAAGAAAGGAGAAAAAGUCAUUAACUUAGAGAAGUUCAGACUUUUCAGAAGGUCAUGAAUCUGACAAGCCAGAAGCAAUGGAUCCUUCUCCAUCUGCCUUUUAUUUCCAGCACAUUUAUACAACCUUCAAGUCUUUGUUUUUCAAAUCUCAGGGAGAGCUACGCAUCCUGGAGUCAAUUGAUGGUUAUCAGGAAGGUGUUUUCAGCUAUUUUCAAAAUACCUUGCAUCUAUGGAACGUGUGUGUAUUUUUGGGUAAUGGCUACUGGACAUCUCCUUGCUUCCUGGUUAUGCCAGGAGUGCCUUUUUCCCUUCAGUACGAUUCCUUCAAACAUUUUGAUGCUUAGGAAGCUAAAUGAGAGAUGGAUUCCUGGGUCAAAGGCAUAUGAGCGUGUUUCCUCACUGGAGAAGCUGUUCAGGAAGGGCUGCAGUCACAGAAACUCAUAGAGGAGUUCCCGUUGUGGCACAGCAGGAUUGGUGGUGUCUUGGGCGUAAUGGGACACAGUUCGAUCGCAGCCUGGCCCAGUAGGAUAAAGAUCCAGCAUUGCCACAGCUGUGGCUUAGGUUGCAACCAUGGCUCAGAUCUAAUCCCUUUCCCAGGAACUCCAUAUGCCUAAGGGUGGCCCAAAAAGAAAAAGAAAAAAGGUUCAUAGAGAUUGUGGGUUCUUCUUUGCUAAGUCUCCAGUACUUACAGGACAGGGUAGUGUUAUAAAAAGAAUAAGGUCUUCGGGAUCUGGCAGAAGGGGUUUAAAUUCCAGCUUGGUCACUUUUAGCUCUGGGACCUUGGCCAUGUCUUUUAAUCUUUUUGAGUCUUGGUUUCCUUGUGUUACAAUGAAGACAUAUGUAUACUACACGUAGGAUGAGAAGUAGUGUUUAUAAAGGGCCCAGGACAUAGGAGGCCUUUAGUAAAUCUCACAUAGUAAUAUUUCUUCUUUAUAUUUAUUUCUUGGUUUGUGUGGGUAUGGCAUGUGGGCAUCUCAAAUGAAAAUUUUGGACAUGUUUACAUUGAAACAUAAUCAAGUUGAUAACUCACUUGACUCUUACUGUUGCAAGACCCCUUGCUGGUGUGAAUGAAGAGGGACUAGAAAGAAAGUGGCAGGAGGUGGUGAAACAGGCAUUUGACCAAUGAUCAAAUUAUGAACACUGGCAAUUAGAAUACAAAUGCAAAUUUGUGUGGGUGUGGGUGUGUGUGUGUGCGCGAGAGAGGGAGAGAGAGAAUAUUUUUUUUUACAAUUGCCAUUCAGAAUUGCAAAGCUGAGACUUCCAUCUGUGAUCACUCAUCAUCUGAGGUUGUCUCUAUUUGAUUUGUAAUAUAAAUACAGCCCUCUUGUUCUUCCAGAUAUUCAUUCUUCAGAGUGUGAACGUGAAAUUAUGUAUAGAUUUAUUUUAUCUGAAGUUGAGGGGAAAGCCUUUUGCAGGGUUGACUAUUUAUUCCUUAAUCUCCUGUUAGAAUUUCUCUAGCUUCAUUCUUCCAGCGUCUAGAAUUAUUUUCAUCUACUGAUUUUGGAUGUAUGAAAGUUUCUUCAUUGUGAGGUAUAUAUUCCCUCAGGCAAUAUUGCUUUUAACUUUUAAAAAAUGCUGAAUUAUUUACCCACUAUUAUAUAAUCCAUCUCCUCUUCUGGGAGAGUGGGAGUUUAAUACAACUCAAGCUUGUAUUGCUGAAAUUAGGAAAUUUAGAUACAGAGGUAGAACAAGGAAAUAAUGAAACCAUGCCUUACUUAUAAGGGUGACACAGUGGACUAACAUGUAAAGAUCUUUGCAGUGAUUGGCAGGUAGAAAUCACAGUGUGUGGGGGUGUCUGUGUGUGGUGCCUCCCACCAUGAGGAGCAGAGAGACCUACUGCUUAGGAGUCUGGCCUCUGGAGCUAUACCGAUUUGGUUCAAAUCCAGGCAACAUCACAUACUAGCUGAUUUUGAGCUGCCUUCCUAACCCCUUUGUGUCUAAUUGAGGCAUCUACAGAAUUGGGAUAAUGGUGUCUAUCUCAAUUGAUGUUGUGAGGAUUAAAUGCCACAAUUCAGAGUAAAACUCAUAGAGCAGUACCACCUGGCAUCCAUAAAUACUUGGUAGAUAUUUGCUGGUUGUUGUUGUUAUUCGGGGCGUGCCCACAGCAUGCAGAAGUUUCUGAGCCAGGAAUCAAACCUGCAUCACAGCCGUGACUACACUGAAUCCUUCACAUGCUAGGCCACUGGGGAACGCCUAGUUAUUAUUAACAUUUAACAGUUUUUUUUAAAAUUAAUCAUCUAACAGUUAACUUCUCUUCUCCAUCCUUCAUAAUAUUACAUAGAAAGGAAUAAACUGAGUUGUUUUUCCUGUGAUAUUCCACAGCUUCUAUAUAGGCAAUCUCUCUGAUUCUUUGCAACACUGGAUGAACAGCUCUGGGCAGUUUUGUAUACUUCUGGUCACCUUCUGUGGAAAGGAGCCCUCGGUACUGAGGCUCCCCAGUUUGAAAGACCCCAGGAAGGCUAGAUGAGGGGGAAAAAAACCCCCAAGAGUUUCAGCUAUUUUCCAGUGUCCUCAAGAAUCUAUUUUUUUUAAAUACUGAUUUUUAUUUUUCCAUUAUAGCUGCUUUACAGUGUUCUGUCAAUUUUCUGUGGCACAGCAAGCUGACCCAGUCACACAUACAUGUAUACUUUCUUUUUUCUCCUAUUAUCAUGCUCCAUCACAAGUGACCAGACGUAGUUCCCAGUGCUAUACAGCAGGAUCUCAUUGCUUAUCCAUUCCAAAGGCUAUAGUUUGCAAGAAUCUAUUUUGAAAU
rnacentral:lncRNA from 1 species